rnacentral:lncRNA from 1 species
AUUUUCCUGUCCACAGUUACAGAAUGAGAAUCUUUAUGGGUGGACCAUUUGACACUGAAUAACAUAUUGAUGAGCUCCUCCCUAAGAUCUUGAAACAAUCAUCUAUAGACAGUGAGAGGGUAACAGAGAAAAAGUGUAAAAUUCAACGGGAAUCCUCAGAAGACUACAGCAAACCGAACUGUAAUGUUUAUUCUGAUUGCAAGGCUAUUGUUUACAUGUGACUGACACGUUGUAAGACAUUCUGUCACCUAAACUUAAGCAGAUCCUGCCUUCUUUACUAAUGUUGUUAGUUAUUAAUUAUUUGCAGUAGCUUGAUUUUCCGCUAAUAUUUUCAAAAUCUCCUUGGCAAAAAUUGAAAACAAGUAAUGAAAACCAGAGACAGACAUUCCUCAAACUACAUAACAAUGCAUUGGAAGUUAGUUUGGGUCAUGGAAGAUAAAAGCCUCAAGGAAAAAAAUAGCCCUUCUAUUAUGGAAAACACUUGGAAAAUAUCUUUGAAAUGUUGGUGACACCUAGUUCUUCAUGAAGACAAUUAAUCAUGGUCCUGAUGGGGUGAAAACACAAGGGAAUUUUCAAUGAAAUGUUUUCUUUCUUCUUCACUGAUGCAAUAUUUGAAAUGGGAGAGGAGGGCAUGUUUUUAAGCAAAGUGCUUGUCAGCAUGAAUGGUUCUCUUCAGUAAAUCAUCUGGAGUCACAUAAACAAAAAUUGUGGACAUAAAAUUAAAAGAUGAAUUUAAUGCCUAUU